GCCCCUGACGAGCCCGAACUCGUCAACUUCCUGUCGGUACUUGAAGAAGCGGAGCCAGGGCUGAGAUCCCGAAGGCGGGCGAGGUCUGGGAUGGGGCGGGGCCUAUGGGAGCGGGGCUGAAGCCCUGGGCCCGGCAGAGGAAGGUCGAGAUGGACCAUGUUGGGCCCCUUCUCUCCCCGCCCCCAGGCCGCAGUUCGGGGGCCACGCCCCGGCGUGCUCGGGUCACCGCGGGAAGCCCUUGAACCCCCUGGCGCCCGGCACCCACGUGCGGUAACCGCGGCUCCUCGAGAGCUCCAGGGAUGCGGAUCUACAGUAAGGGCUGUGGCCAGAUGAAUGAAUGCACAUUUUUUAGUGGGCAGAAAGAUGUUAGAAUUCAUGAAUUAGAAUAAGCACAAAGGAGGGCGAGAGGGGAGGCCGUGGAAGCCGCAUUCCUCCCCUUGCCUUGGGCGCCCACCCCCGAAGGGGCGCGUCCCCUCCCUGCUCCACUGCACGUGGGUGUUUAACCAGGGGAUAUCCAGUGCCUCAAGCACCACGACCCGGGAGAAAACUGAGUUGAGAAGGCCUUGGGGAUGAAGGUGAGAAAUUCGAGAAUCCCCGGAGAUAACACAUCAGCAAAUAGUGCGCAGGCAGAACAAGCUGUUGGAGGUGAGAGACACAGAGCAGAGAAGCACCCGCACCUGGAGAGUCAGGAGGGCCUCACAUCAGAACGCCUGAGCAAAUACAGUUUUGAAGGAUACUAAUUUUUUAAAAAGUUCAUUCACAUGAGUUAGACAAAGAGAAAGAAGCAGGACAUUCUAGGAAGAAGGAACGGCCCAGGCAAAAGCGACGCGUACAUUGGCGUGGGUCCAUUCAAGAAUUGUGCCCACAAUAUACCAGGCACUUGUCCAGACCUGCAUCGUCCAAUGCCCACCUCGACCUCCCAAAGUGUUGGGAUUAGAGGCGUGAGCCACCGCGCCCUGCCUGCAUGUGGCUAUUGAGAUGUGCUGUAUGAUACACACCGGACUUUGAAGACUCAGUGUGAAAAAUAAAAAGAAUUUUAAGAGGGGUGGGGGUCGAGGGGAGGCAGAGCAGUAGGACAAAUAGCUAAUGCACGCAGGGCUUAAAACCUAGACAACAGGUUGAUGGGUGCAGCAAACCACCAUGACACAUGUUUAUCUAUAUAGCACCUACAUGUUCUGCACUUGUAUCCUGGAACUUAAAAUUAGAAAAAAAAAAUAAUAAAAGCCAACAUGGCAUUCAUUACUGCCAAAAAAAUUAAAACACAUUGUUAAUUUUGUAUAUUGAUUACAGGUUGAACUGAUAAUAUUUUGAAUAUAUUGGGUUAAAGAAAUACAUUUAAAAUUAGUGGCUAGGCACAGUGGCUCAUGCCUGUAACCCCAGCACUUUGGGAGGCUGAGGCGGGUGGAUCACCUGAGGUCUGGAGUUCGAGAUGAGCCUGGCCAACAUGGUGAAACCCCAUUUCUACUAAAAAUACAAAAAUCAGCCGGGUGUGGUGGUGAGUGCCUGUAAUCCCAACUACUUGGGAGGCUGAGGCAGGAGAAUCGUUUGAACCCGGGAGGUGUAGGUUACAGUGAGCCGAGAUUGUCCCACUGCACUCCAGCCUGGGUGACAGAGUGAGACUCCAUCUUAAUAAUAAUAAUAAAACUAUUUCUUGCUGUUUUACUUUUCUAAUGUGACCACCAGAAAAGUUUAGAUGGCUUGUGUGACUCUCAUCAUUGAACGGAGCUGUUCUAAACAUGGGUAAGACAACGCAGAGCUUCGGUUGCAGGACAGAGAAUGAAAUAAUAGACCCAUAAGACAGAUAAGUGACUGAUUGUGACUGCUAGGGUGUUUACAGCAUAGGCCGGUGACAGGAACGAGGAGUGUGGGGAUGAGAGCCGACGUGGGCGAGAGUGCAUGCAAUGCAGGGUCAGACGUUGGAUUCAUCUCUCAGGAGUUGAAAAAGGUGGCGUUCCUGUUCUUUAUUGGCAUUGCUUGUGACACGAGGAUUGCCCCUCUUCCUGAAGAGGUUGGUCAGGAAAAUUUUUUGUUAACUUUUAUUUUAGGUUUGAGGGUCCAUGUGCAGGUUUGUUUCAUGAGUAAACUCAUGUCAUGGGGGAUGGGUGUACAGAUAAUUUCAUCACUGAGGAAUAAGCCUAGUACCCGAUGGGUAUUUUUUCGGAUCUUCUCCCUCCUCCCAUCCUCCACCCUCAGGUAGGCCCCGUUGCCCACCGUUCCCCUCCUAAUAUCCCUGUGUUCUCGCUGUGGAGCUCCCACUUAUAAGUGAGAACACGCGGUGUUUGGUUUUCUGUUUCUGCCUUAGCUUGCCUCCACCUCUAUCCAUAGUGCUGCAAAGGACAUGAUCUCGUUCCUUUUUUAUGGCUUCAUGGUAUUCCACGAUGUAAAUGUACCACAUUUGCUUUGUCAAGUCUACUGUGGAUGGGCAUUUAUGUUGAUUCCACAUCUUUGCUAUCAUGAAUAGUGUUGUGGUGAACAUACACCUGCAUGUGUCUUUAUGGUAGAACGAUUUAGAUUCCUCUGGGUAUAUACCCAGUCAUGGGAUUGCUGGGUUGCAUGGUAGUUCUGUUUUAAGUUCUUUGCAGAAUCACUAUGCUGCUUUCCGCAAUGGUUGAACUAAUUUGCACUCUCAAUAUUAUAUUGUCUAUAGCUGAGAAAGCUGAAAUGUAAAGAUUAAGUCACUUGUCCUCAGACAUGUAGACAGGAAGUGGUACAGCCAGGACUCAAACCUGCCUCCAGAGCCCGUCCUCCUAAACCUAAGUCAUGGUUUUCAAAGUGUGGUCCUUGGAUCAGCAGCAAAAGCACCACCUGGGCACUCAUUAGACAUGGAAAUUCUGGGCCUCAACCCGGACCUCAGCAUGGGAAUCCCUGGGGGUGGAGCCCGGCGGUUUGUGUUUGGGCAGCCCCAGCUGACUCUGAGGCACCAUCAGGUUGGAGGCCACAGUGGGUGAUAGUCCCUGCCCUGUGGUAGCAGCCGGCCUCCCUCCUUCAUUUCUGUUAUUCCAUCUCCUUCUUAAAACAACCCUGUGAGGCUGGCAGGGCAGAUGUCGAUUUUAUUUAACAGAUGAAGAAACUGACCCUUGAGGUUUUAUGACUUACCCAAAGUCAUCGCAUUAGUUUUGGAACUGAAACUUCAAUGGCAGAUCUUCUGGCUGUUAGUCUGAGACUGGAACUAGUACCCACAAGGACUCUGGGAGCAGUAAGGUCAGAGCAGGAGCUACUGCUUCAUUUCAUUGCCUCUAGUGAAGGAGGAGGGGGGUUCCCAGAGCACGGCUUCUCCAUGGGUCUAGCCCAUGAUAGCUGGGUGCUUACCCUGAUGUGCUGAUGAGAUUCUGCCUUAUCUCCUGCAAGCCAUUUGUGCUGUGCUAGGAUUAAACAGUACACUUUGGAACCUUAGCUGCCCACACCCUGAGAGCCAAUCACGCAGAACCCACAGGAAAUCUCGGGGCAGAAGUAGUUUGCCAUAAAUGUCCAUUUUCUCAUUUUUUGUUGUUGUGACGGGGUCUUGCUCUGUCGCCGAGGCUGGAGUGCAUUGGCGCAAUCAUAGCGCACUGCAGCCUCAACCUCCUGGGCUCAAGUCAUCUUUCCACCUCAACCUCCAAAAUAGCUGGUAUUACAGGUGUGCGCCUCCUGUAUAAUUAAAAAAAAAACAUGUUUUGAGGCCGGGUGUGGCGGCUCAUGCCUGUAAUCCCAGCACUUUGGGAGGCCAAGGCGGGUGGAUCAUGAGGUCAAGAGAUUGAGAUCAUCCUGGCCAACAUGGUGAACCCCCGUCUCUACUAAAAAUACAAAAAAUUAGCCGGGCGUGGUGGCAGGCACUUUUAAUCCCAGCUACUUGGGAGGGUGAGGCAGGAGAAUCGCUUGAACCUGGGAGGUGUAGCUUGCAGUGAGCUGAGAUCACACCACUGCACUCCAGCCUGGGCAAAAAGAGUGAAACUCUGUCUCAAAAAAAAAAAUGUUUUGAGGUUACAGGGAGCUAUGAUCACACUACUGCACUCCAGUCUAGAUAACAGAGCGAGACCCUGUCUCUGAAAAAAAAGAAAAAAAAUUCUUUGUAGAGACAAGGUUUCACUAUAUUGCUCAGGCUGGAAUCAAACUCCUGGCCUCAAGCAAUCCUCCUGUAUUGACCUCUCAAAGGGCUGGGAUUACAGGCGGGAGCCACUGUGCUCAGCCUGCAUUUCCUGAUGCAACUCGUUCACAUUCCAUCCAUUAUCAACAAUCCCCACAACUUCACCUCCUGCCAUGGAUGCCUGAGGCUGGGGAAGGGGAACUUCAUUCGGGUGUGGGCGUCACCUUAGCCACAGAGAACCUAAAAGAGUGAUCAAGCCUCACCUGAGGUUGGGAGUUCGAGACCAGCCUGACCAACAUGGGGAA
ensembl:lncRNA RNASEH1-DT RNASEH1 divergent transcript